rnacentral:lncRNA from 1 species
GUGAUGAGGUGCAAAGUCUCCAUCUUUAUUCCCAAAUUGGACUUGAACAUCAAGCUUGAAGCCUGAACCUUGUUAUGAUGAGAUGCUGUGAGGCCGUACAAAGAAGAAGACAAGAUGAAGUCACACGGCCUUUCCCUGGACAUUGAGGCUUGAAUCCUGCUACCACAACUUUGGUGUUUUCCUCUGGACACAACUUCGCCAGCAAGGCAUGGUCAAACCAGCAAAGCAAACAAGAAUGGAAAUUAAUUUCCUGUUUCCAAUCAGGAAUGAAGAAUGUCUCCUUCUGAUACCCAGGAUGACGUGGAUCUCUUUACCUGAACAUUCUCUCCUAAUUCUUCUGAGAAUCUUCUCACCAGCAUAAUACCCACCACCCACCAGGCCAGGGACACGUAUACCAGGGACAGCUUAGCUGUUCUUGCUUACAAACUUCAGGCUUUUAUGGAUGCUCAGUUACUCAUUAUGCCAUUCCCUAGAAUCUUCUGGGUGCUGGACACUUAAGUCUGCCUACUGGAAACACAGAUCUCUUAGCUGACAAAUGGAGUCAUCUUGCCAUUCCUGCAGACACCAGGGAGAGUAGAAGAAACUCCAGCUCAGCCCAGGCCAGAAGGCUGAGUCAUAACAAAAACAAAUUGUUGCAGAUAACCGUGGUUUUGGGGUAGUUUCUGCACAAUAUAUUAUUGAAACAAUCUUAUACAUACACAGCCUCAACCUGAGAAUAGAAGGCUUGUGUUUCUCCCCCUGCAGGUGCUUCCUGACCUCUUGGUCCUGCUCUCCCAUCUCUCCCCUGUCAGCUGCCAGUAAUUCCUUAACCAACAGCAGCACUGGGAGCACCUGCCCAACCAGUU